rnacentral:rRNA from 1 species
AACGAACGCUGGCGGCGUGGAUAAGACAUGCAAGUCGAACGGGACAACAUCUGUAGCAAUACAGGUGUUGUUUAGUGGCGAACGGGUGCGUAACACGUGGGCAAUCUGCCGAGAAGUGGGGGAUAGCUCGCCGAAAGGCGAAUUAAUACCGCAUAUGAUCAGUGAAGACAUCUUCACGACAUCAAAGCCGGGGCAACCUGGCGCUUCUUGAUGAGCCCGCGGCCUAUCAGCUAGUUGGUGAGGUAACGGCUCACCAAGGCUAUGACGGGUAGCUGGUCUGAGAGGACGACCAGUCACACUGGAACUGAGACACGGUCCAGACACCUACGGGUGGCAGCAGUCGAGUAAUUUUCUCAAUGGGGCAACCCUGAAGGAGCGACGCCGCGUGGAGGAUGAAGG